GCGAACACCAGCUGCUCCCCGCGCCGGCACCCGCGCGCCGCUGCUCCGCCGGCGCUGCCUCCCUCGACCCGUGGCUCCCCCUCGCAACUUGGCGGGCCUCCUCCCUUUUGUCCGGCCCGGUCCGGCCGCCGCCGCCCCCCGCGCCUGGCGCCGAGCUCCCGGGUCCCCGGGCCGGCUGUCGGUGCCGGCAGGGCGCGGAGGGGGCGGGGGCCGCGGCUCGUCCCCCAGCGGAUGAGCUGCCGCGGACGGGGCGCGGGCGGACGAUGGAACUCCACAUCCUGGAGCACCGGCUGCAAGUUGCCAGCGUCGCCAAGGAGAGUAUCCCGCUGUUCACCUACGGGCCUGAUCAAACUUGCCUUCCUGUUCUCCAAGACCAGGUGCAAGUUCUUCAGUCUGACUGAGACACCAGAGGAUUACACUAUCAUUGUCGAUGAGGAAGGAUUCCUAGAGCUGCCCUCCUCGGAGCACCUGAGUGUGGCGGAUGCCACCUGGCUGGCCCUGAACGUGGUGUCCGGCGGUGGCAGCUUCUCCAGCUCCCAGCCUAUUGGCAUGACCAAGAUCGCCAAGUCAGUCAUCGCCCCACUGGCUGACCAGAACAUAUCCGUGUUCAUGCUGUCCACGUAUCAGACAGACUUCAUCCUGGUGCUCAAGCGGGACCUGCCCUUUGUCACCCACACGUUGUCAUCAGAGUUCACCAUCCUGUGGUCAGUGGCUAGACUGUAGCAGCCGAGAACCUCGGCAUCACCAGUGGCUUCGUGAAGCCCAAGCUGGUCCAGAUGCCGGUCAUCCACCCACUGUCCAGCCCGAGCAACAGGUUCUGUGUCACCAGCCUGGACCCCGACACGCUGCCUGCUGUUGCCACACUCCUCAUGGAUGUCAUGUCCUACUUCAAUGGAUUCAUUCAGCUUUUCCAGACCAGGCAUCACCGAGCGGAGAGAGGGGAAACACCCUGGCUUCUCUUUGGCACAUCAGCCCCUAGUUCUUGAGAGAGAAGGGCAGGGUGGUCUACUCACCAUGUCUGUAUCCUGCCGUUCUUCAUUUGACUCAUCCUGGAUUUCUAACUCUUCUUCCUCGUCCUCUUCCAUAAGGCUGAGUCUGAUGUAGGGGCAAAGAGACUGGCUUUUCAAACUGUUCUUUGAGGACCCCUGAGAGUUUCUCAGACACCCGGGGUGGGGGAAGUGGGGAGCAGUAAGUACAGCAUAGUAGUUUCCCGAUUGUGCUGACAGGAAGUGCUCUGUGGCUAAAACAAGUCCAAAAAGCACCCACAGAGAGGCAAUGGGUGAGACAGGAAUCCCCUCACAGUGGG
rnacentral:lncRNA from 1 species